rnacentral:rRNA from 1 species
UAAGAGGUCCCGCCUGCCCUGUGACUUUACGUUUAACGGCCGCGGUAUUUUGACCGUGCGAAGGUAGCGCAAUCACUUGUCUCUUAAAUGGGGACCUGUAUGAAUGGCAUAACGAGGGUUUAACUGUCUCCUUUCCCAAGUUAAUGAAAUUGAUCUUCCCGUGCAGAAGCGGGAAUAAGAACAUAAGACGAGAAGACCCUAUGGAGCUUUAGGCAAUAGACAGAUCAUACUAAAAUAAUCCUGACAAAGAGACAAACAUAAUGAAUCCUGUCCUUAUGCCUUUGGUUGGGGCGACCGCGGGGAAACAAAAAACCCCCAUGUGGAAUAGGACCACCCGUCCUUCAAAAAAGAGCCUCCGCUCUAAAAAACAGAAUAUCUGACCUUUAAGAUCCGGCAAAGCCGAUCAACGAACCGAGUUACCCUAGGGAUAACAGCGCAAUCCCCUUAUAGAGCCCAUAUCGACAAGGGGGUUUACGACCUCGAUGUUGGAUCAGGAUAUCCUAAUGGUGCAGCCGCUAUUAAGGG